GAAGUUGCAGGGGGAGGGUGACCGGGUGCGUCCCCAGCCCGGAAUCCGCCGUAGGAGGGCUUAGGGUGACGCGAGUUGACGGACACUUGAUCUGGGCCCACGAGUUACUCUACUUACUGAUAUUUGGGGCUCCAGAUGGGCCACGUUUCCCAGGAUGACGGCCAAGUACAUUCAGUGACUCGUGUGGUCACUACAGUUUGAGGACAACAUGUGCGAGAAGACCUUCCCUGGCCCCUGCCCCGGACUUCUUAAUUCGGGCGUGCCCAGCUGCCAGCUUGUUUUGUUUCUUGAAUUUCCUGGGAGCAUCUUUCACAAAUUCUCUCGUUGUUUGUUUACCUGGGAAGGUCUUUCUUUUCCCUCACCUUUGAAGAACCACAAGGGCAUCUUCUUCAGACCUUCCUGAGGAGAUCUCAGGGCUCCUGGAAAGAAAGCCCCCCCUCCCCUGGCUCCCAGAAGCCCAGCGAGGCACCGCCCACCAGUUCCUGCCAGUUUACGGCUCCAGCAGCUUCUCCAGGCAGACCCACCUUGCCCACCCUGGCCUCCCAGACCGGCUGUCCCUCAAGGUUUCAGGGUGCUGGCUCGCCCUGCAUGCUGGGCUCUCGGGUGAGUCUGAGAGAAGCAGUUGUUUUCAAGUUGUCCCAUUUUUUCUUGUUGUAAGGGCAGGAAUGGAGUCUGCCACACUCUUUAAAUGUCAGUGCUAAGUCUGGAGUCCCCGCCACCGGGGGAGGGGCGGUGCUCUGCCACCCCAGAUCCGCUACUAAAUAUUCGUGUAGAACUAAUAAAUAUUAAUGUCAGGACAUAGAAUAACGCUUUCUUUCACCAGGAAAGAAAGAGAUUGCACGUGUUGCGACUCAUCACUCUUAAAAGUAUCUCUGGUUAGUGUCUGAUUCUGAGACCCAUGUGGGAGGUGAGGCCAGCCUCCUUCGAUGCCUCCCACCUCAGCCCGUGGGACAGACUGGCCACAGGCCCCCCGAGGGGCAGUCCUUGGAGCCGAUCGCCGGCUGUAGAUCCAGCCUCCAGCCCGUGGGGCUCAUUCCUGGCCCCAGAGCAGGCGCCGGCUUCCUGCGUCCUGAGGGAGGUGACCCCGUGGGCCAAGUGCUGCCCAGCCAGCAGCUGGGCCAAGGGCACCCUCAACAGUUGCUGGAAAACGGCUCUGGUUUCUGACCGCCACCGGUGUCCAGAAAGGCAGCAGCCAGGGUCCCCACUGUGGCCUUGACUCCCCGGGGUCUCCGUGGGGCGUUCAGAGCGGCCAGCCUGGGCAGGACUCCUCCACCCCCGCCCCGGACACGCCUGUGAACAACAGUUUCUGGAAAAUUCUGGCUGCAUUCAGACCCUGACUACCUGAGGGGGUCACCCCCACAUCAGUUCUGGGGGUGUCUUUCUUGUUGAAAUGAGAUCGCUUUACACACAGAGAGACUCGCAUUUUCAGGGAACGCCUGACCCCAGCCUGCGUGACCGCAACCAAGGCUUCCAGGCAGGAGGUCGAGCAAACAAAGUUUAGAUGCCACUGAAAAUGUCGCCACGCUCUGUUUUCUAGAAACAUGGCUCCAAGACAGCCACGGGGCAUCCAUGUAUGCGUGUGAACUUACAGAAAAAUGGUUGAUUUCCUCUUAAAUACUUAACAAACGUGUCAUGAUAUACGUGGAAGUAACUGAGUGGUCUCAAGGGUGCAACCAAGUUUCUAAGAUGUUCUAUUAUCGAAGUUAAUAUUCUGAAAAUCAAGUCUCUUGUUUUAGAAAAAUGGAAGUAAAUAAUCAACAAAAGCAAAACAUGCCCCUAACGGGUGCGGCUGACAGUGUGUGAAACUCGUGCUCAGGAAGAUCUCGUUUGCCCAGCGCUCUGCCCACGGCAGCUGAGCCUUGAGCAGGGAGAAGCGGGCACGUGGGGCAGGGUCCCCGCGUGGGGGCUUGUGGAGUCCGUCAGCGUGGGGAGUAAACCGGGCUGGGAGCAGCCCAGGAACUCAGCGUGGGGACCGUCCCCUCGGGAGCCGGAAGCCGGGUCAGUGUCCCCUCCGGGCUUUGUCCUGCGUCUUCUCUCCCGACCCCGCACCUGCCCUCGCCACCACCUGAUGUCUGCUAAGCCUGGACUGGCAUCUGCCUCUCUCCAAGGAUGCCGUUCCGUGAAUUGAGUUUCUGGGGCCACCGGUGCAGGCAGCGUCCCAGUAAGCGAUGAUGGCUCAGCCCUGGGUGUCGGGACGGGGGGGGGCGUGAGGGGCCCAGGGCUGACAAAAUCCUGCGUGCUCUCCUCUGGUUGCGGGAAACUAACUCUCGAUGUCUGUGCCUUGCUUUCUUCUAAACUUAGAAUUACUGUUGAUGAACUCACUGUAAAUAAACCUUGGCAAUGUGUGCAAUAAUUAGUGAAAAAUAAAUGUGUACUUAGGUAUUAAUAAAAUAAAUAUUUAGCAGGUUAUUUGGGAUCUUUGCUGUAUCCUCAAAUGCUUAAUAAAUAAUGAGAGGUUUAUUAAAACUUGCGACUAUGACUCAGUGGAAGGAUUUUCACAAUGCAACUUGCUUCCUAAAAUCAGAGAAGACAGGAUUUGUUUUCUGUCAAGGGGUGGGCCAAACAGCGGAAUGGAAAGUGGGGGCAGACGUCCUUGACACAGUCUGGGGCAGAAUGACAAAGCCGCUCGGACCUCACUUCCAGGCCAGUCUUGCUGCCUGCUAUCUGAAGGCUUUCUAGCUCUUACUAGCUGAGGAUUCAGAACAGGGAACUACGGCCCCGU